rnacentral:lncRNA from 1 species
CACAAUGUCUUAUCCACGAUCCAGAAGCUUUUUGGGAGUGUUCGGAUGACCACAUUUUGCUGCUCUCCCCCUCCCAGCACACUCACCUUGCCUGUCCUGGGAGGAGAGCCUUGCUCCUAGCCCCUGCGUCCAGCAGCACAUCCAGGAUGGUUCCUGGAUCCAGGAUGCGAUUACAUAAACUCCACAUUAAUAAAAAGCUGUUGCUGAAUGUCUUGAAGAUUCAUUCAUUCAUUUGUUCAUUUAUUGAAGGAUUAAUCAAAACAGGCAUAAUUUAUUACAUACUGGAAUUAAAGAGCACACAAAAACAUCCCUCCCCCUGGUCUCCCAUUUAUAAGCUAAAUCAGAGUCACAGAAAUUGCUGGGGGAAGUGGGGGCAGUCUGUGCACUUGGGAGCCGGUGAGAUGGGGCCGCGUGGUCCUCAGAGAGGAGGGCUCAGAGGAGGGAGGGGAGAGACUCGAGAACUGCUUGCAGAGAGUGGGCCUCAGGGGUGUGACCCGAGGUGCGCUGAAAUUAGCUGGAAAUUUAGAGGGAGAUUCACAAAGGGGAAGAAGAAGAUACGGAGGACAAAUGUCACAUACCAGGCAAUUUUGCCCCGUCUGUCUCUUAAGUGAGGGACUCACUUAAUAGGACUUGCUUUUUCUUCCUGAAUCCACCUCUGGAGUUUGGCCCCCUUUGAGUGGUUCUGCUAAUAGGACAUUGUUCAUGGCCACCUGCCUAGGAGACUACCUAGGAAUUUAUUGGGCAAAUUUCUUUGAUGCUUGACUAGAGUCAAUCUGAGCAAAUUCCUAAAUGUUGGACCUGAAAACACUAUUCUCAGGGUCAGCAGGCACUGCCAGUCGCCACUUUCCCUACCAGAGACUUGCAAUAGUACUUGCACAUCUCUUCAUCCACUAAGCACAUGCCUAGUUGGCCUAUGAGGUCGUCUAGCCCUUGUAACCUUGUCUUUGAGAGGAUUUCUAGAGAGUACCAAGCAAGAAUCUUCUGCAGCCUAGGAGGUGGGAAGGCAAGGUGGAUGAGCUCCCAACUUCUUUGUUGGCAUUAAUUCUGCCCCUCCCCUCUAGCCUCUUCCUUUCUCUCUUUAUCUCCUUUCCCCAUCUCUUCCCCCACUGGCCUCACUCCCAUCCUGGCCAAAUGGAUUGGGGAGGAGGGGACGGUCAGGCCAGGGAAAUUCAGUCUUUAUUUUCUCUCUAUAGUAAGCCCUGAGGUUCCUCCAUGGAAGCAGAUGUGAAAUUACACCCAAAGGUUGAUGAAGUCAUUCAGUUUCACAAGUCAGCUCAGUCUGGAAUGGAUCAGCUGGGUGAAGUGACCCUCUCUGCGGCACCAUCCCCAGGCACCUUCUGUGUCUUGGAGCAAAGAUGUGGCUCACAAAGUGAGCAGCCCCUGCCUCUCACGCCUGUGCGAGAAAGACUCAGCCUGGGCUGGAGGUGCUGGAGACUAAGUGGUGAGGUGAAAGGAAGGUCUUAGCUCUUCCAGAGGUGGAUGGUUAGAACUCAGCCUCUCUCACUCCAAAAACACUUAAGAUGAAAAUUUUAUUUUUUAUUUUUAUUUUUUUAUUCUUUUGAGGAAGAUUAGCCCUGAGCUAACUACUGCCAGUCCUCCUCUUUUUGCUGAGGAAGCCUGGCCCUGAGCUAACAUCCAUGCCCAUCUUCCUCUACUUAUAUGGGGGACGCCUACCAUAGCAUGGCGUGCCAAGCAGUGCCAUGUCCACACCUGGGAUCCGAACCGGCGAACCCCGGGCCGCUGAGAAGCGGAGCGUGUGACCUUAACCGCUGCACCACCGGGCCGGCCCCUAGAUGAAAAUGUUAAAUUAUGCAACAUUCCCACUUUACAAAACACUUGGAAAAUAGAGAAUAGGUCAAGAAAAGAAAAAUCCACCUGUAAUUUCAUCACCCUAUUACAAUUACUCUUAGUAUUCCGAAAAGUUUUAGUUAUUAAUUCAGGUUGGCAUUGCAGUGGGCACACAGGGCCAAUGUGAAGGUACCCGCAAAGUCUAGAUUUUAAAAAAGCCUGCCUUCUGAGAAGAAAAUUAGGAAAAAUUGUUGCGAUCAUAGCCCUCCAUAGAAACGGCCCAAUCCAUGACACUGUCUGAAAUAUUUCAGCUUUCUUAUCUGCAAAAUGGCAAUAAUACUUGAAUUCCCUUCCUUUCGGAGUUACCGAGAGACUAAAAUGAAACGAUUUCCUCAGCAUCAUCCCUUCCUGAACCACUGAACAGCUCCUCUGCUUCUCCCAUCAGAAGUCAGAGUUGAUCUGAGUUGUGUCCAUCUCAAAAUUCCUGUGCUGAGAUCCUAACCCCAGAAUGUGCCCUUAUUUGGAAAUAGGGUCAUCGCAGAUGUAACUAGUUAAGAUGAGGUCAUACUGGAGUAGGGUGGGCCCCCGAUCCAAAAUCACUGAUGUCCUUAUCAAGGGGGGAAAUUUGGAGACAGAUGCACAGAGAGGGAAGACGAUGUGAAGAGACACGGGGGGAAGAUGGCCAUCAACAAGCCCAGGAGAGAGGCCUGGAGUGAACCCUUCCCUCACAGCCCUCAGAAGGACCCAAUCUUACCCACACCUUGAUUUCAGACUUCUAGCUUCCAGAACGGUGAGACAAUAAAUUUCUCUCAAGUCACCCAGUUUGUGGUACUUUGUUAUGUCAGCAGACUAACGCACUCUUCUUGUAGGAGAUGCUUUUACUUAUGUGUGAUUAGUUCUGGAGGAGGAACUUCCUGGAGGCGGGCAGGUUAGUGACAUGGCCUCUCACACGGGGCAGCUGGAUCCAGGCUGCCGAGGCCCACCUGACAUCCAACAAGGUUGGUGACACUCAGGUGAGGCCUGGGAUGUUUGGAAGACAGUUUCCCUCCAUCUCUGGCACAGACUGAUUCUGGCCUAGAAUAACCCAUGUUACCCUCCCCCACUGGAACUAGACUGCCGCUCCUCAGACUAUGAUGGGCGGGCGUAAUACUUUCUUGAGAUUUUGCUUCAUCAGAACUUCCUCUGGCCGGAGUCAAGUCAGUUGUGAACCAUCGAUUAUGCAAACCUGCAAACUACCAGCUACAGGGGGUGAUAAAGGAUGCAGAACGUGGACAGAGCUCCACAGAAGUGGACUGGCUUUUCCUUUUCCAAGGCAGACCCAGGGGAGAUACAGAUAGGACAUCUUAUCCCAGAGUCCUUUGGCCUUUUCUCGUGGUUAAUUUAACAUUCCUCGGUUUCUGCCAAGAGAAUUCUCACUGUGAAGAAGAGAGCAGCUGGGUUAAGCAUCAGAAUGUAGUUUAGGGGUGGGAAGACAGGAGCAGAGAGUUAAACAGCAAGGGCAGACCAUGGGGAACUCAAAUACAGACAAGAUAUUACACGAUAUGGAAUUACUGCUGAUUUUAUUAGGGGCAGUAAUGGUACUGGAGUUCUGUAGGGAAUUGUUCUUAUUCUCCUCAAGGAGAGGGAGAAAAGAAGAGAGGAAGAAAAAGAAGAAAGCAAAUACAGCAAAGGGGAAUUUUUGAAUCUAGGUGUAAGGUAUAUAACUAUCGUUGUACCAUCCUUAUGACUUUUCUGUAUGCUUACAUUUUUUCAUUAAAAUGUUAGAGGUGGGGAAGAAAAAAGGAAUAAAAAAGUCCUGGGCAGAGACAUGAGAGGAACCAAGAGAGAAUUCAGAAGAAGGACAGAAUUUGGAAACAGAGGUGGGAAAAAGGCUCUGGAACGGGAAAAAGGGGAAAGCGCAGGGGAACACAGGGUUGGUCAUUCCUUCAGUUCCUCUGUGACCAGAGGAAGUUCUGAUGAAACGCGAAAAACCUCAACAAAAUCACCUCCAAUUUCUGUUUACACUUUGAUACUGCGGCAGGAGACUGGAAAUGCAAGCUUCUUUUACAAGAAUACUCACUUCGUGGCCAGUUUGCUGAGAUGCCGGGACGGGGCCGGGCAUCUGGCCCCAAGGCCAGCCCAUCCGCCAGCUAAACUGUGAAUUGGCUGCGAUCAUUUUGUAGAUAAGAGUGGCCCCUAGAAGUAAAAUUAAGCAGAAGACACUGGUCAAGACAGAGAUGAGCAGAGCGCCGUGAGAGGCAGAGCUGAAGGAACCAGAAGCCCUGGGCGCGCGCAGAGGGGCCUCCCUUCCGUCCAUCCGGCUCCAUCCGCUGCGCCCUGUUUCCUGCCCUUGAAUCUAAGAAGCCGCGAGCGCCGGCUGUGUCCGGACAGCGCCUCCUGCCCGCCCACCCUCUUCGGGCUGAACUAGCUGUUUUUUUGCAAACCCAAAUCGCCUGGCCUGGAGCAGCGUCUCGUCCUUACUCGUGGAGCGACCCAGCCCUCUCGCUUCCCUGGGCUGCCAGAAGACUGGACCCACCCACACUUGUCGUAUCCCCAUCGGCACGGAUUGAAACUGUUUUGUUCACGGCUGUGGUUCUGGCCCCAGCGCCAUUCCUGGCGUGUAAUAAGCGCUCAAAGACCGUCUUUGAGCGAGUGAAAUGCAUCGCCCCCAACCUGGGCUGGGCGCUGGGAGCCUUUUCCCAGCAAAUUUUUACCUGUCCUUGCUCUGGUCUCUCUCCUUCCAAUUGCUCCGGGCACCCACCCCCCGGCGCUCGCUCCUGUCAGUCAUAAUAGCUGACACUUACCGGGCGCACGUUAUGGGCCAAGCGCUGUUCUGCGUGUUUUACGUGUUAACUCCUUUAAUCCUCCUGAACCCUCGGAAGCAGAUCCUGUCAUUAGCACGCCUAUUUUACAGACAGAUGGACGUCCCGGGGAGGACGUGAUGCUAGUAGCAGGCCUCAGCCAGUGACGGAUGGGACUCGGAGCUCCCCAGCUCCCUUACUCCGUGGGAAACAGCCAUUACCUGGACUCUGUAACCCUGCCGCUGGAUGCCUAGUGAAGUCAUUUGACACGGACAGUGUGUGGAGGCAAGGUCUCUAAAUCUCCAGCUGAGCUACGAUGACACAGAAGCUCAUCCCGACACAGUAGAUUCUUUUGUGUUUAUCGACUCUGCACAUGAGUGUGAAGACGACAAGUAAUGUCACUGUGUUCGGUUAUUACCUUCUCCUCCAAGAGGCAGCAAGAAGGAAGACUUAGCUCACCAGCCCGGGUCCAAACAACAAGAAAAAAUAUUUCAGCAUUAUUCACAAUGGCCAGGACAUGGAAGCAACCUAAGUGCCCAUUGAUGGAUGAAUGGAUAAAGAAGUUGUG